rnacentral:rRNA from 1 species
UACGGAGGGUGCAAGCGUUGUUCGGAAUCAUUGGGCGUAAAGCGCGUGUAGGCGGCUUGGCAAGUCGGUUGUGAAGGCCCGGGGCCCAACCCCGGAACUGCAUCCGAAACUGCCUGGCUAGAGUCCCGGAGAGGAAGGCAGAAUUCCCGGUGUAGGGGUGAAAUCCGUAGAUAUCGGGAGGAAUACCAGCGGCGAAGGCGGCCUUCUGGACGGUGACUGACGCUGAGACGCGAAAGCGUGAGGAGCAAACAGG